GACGUAGGGCGCGAGCGUUGUCCGGAUUUAUUGGGCGUAAAGAGCUCGUAGGCGGCUCGUUGCGUCGGCUGUGAAAACCCGCAGCUCAACUGUGGGCUUGCAGCUGAUACGGGCGGGCUGGAGUUCGGUAGGGGAGACUGGAAUUCCUGGUGUAGCGGUGAAAUGCGCAGAUAUCAGGAGGAACACCGGUGGCGAAGGCGGGUCUCUGGGCAGUAACUGACGCUGAGGAGCGAAAGCGUGGGGAGCGAACAGG
rnacentral:rRNA from 1 species